rnacentral:rRNA from 1 species
AUUGAACGCUGGCGGCAGGCCUAACACAUGCAAGUCGAACGAGUGGCGGACGGGUGAGUAAUGUCUGGGAAACUGCCUGAUGGAGGGGGAUAACUACUGGAAACGGUCGCUAAUACCGCAUACCAUCGGAUGUGCCCAGAUGGGAUUAGCUAGUAGGUGGGGUAAAGGCUCACCUAGGCGACGCUCCCUAGCUGGUCUGAGAGGAUGACCAGCCACACUGGAACUGAGACACGGCCCAGACUCCUACGGGAGGCAGCAGUGGGGAAUAUUGCACAAUGGGCUCAAGCCUGAUGCAGCCAUGCCGCGUGUAUGAAGAGGGGCUUCGGGUUGUAAAGUACUUUCAGCGGGGAGGCGUUACCCGCAGAAGAAGCACCGGCUAACUCCGUGCCAGCAGCCGCGGUAAUAC